rnacentral:misc_RNA from 1 species
UUUCCGUAGGUGAACCUGCGGAAGGAUCAUUCAUAAUAAGUGUUUUAUGGCACUUUUUUAAAUCCAUAUCCACCAUGUGUGCAAUGUCAGGGUUGAUUUUUCUCUCGAGAGGAUCAACCCCAAACAUCAACUAUAUCUCAACUCUUUGUCUGAAAAAUAUUAUGAAUAAAACAAUUCAAAAUACAACUUUCAACAACGGAUCUCUUGGCUCUC